rfam:Selaginella moellendorffii unplaced genomic scaffold SELMOscaffold_22, whole genome shotgun sequence.
CAGGUUUAGUCGUUCAAGGCAUGCGUGUUUGGCUGCUAAAAAGGCUGUCUGGAAGUUACCACAGGGAUAACUGGCUUGUGGCAGCCAAGCGUUCAUAGCGACGUUGCUUUUUGAUCCUUCGAUGUCGGCUGUUCCUAUCAUUGUGAAGCAGAAUUCACCAAGCGUUGGAUUGUUCACCCACCAAUAGGGAACGUGAGCUAGGUUUAGACUGUCGUGAGAUAGGUUCGUUUUACCCUACUAAUGAGCUGUGCCGCAAUAGUAAUUCAACUUAGUACGAGAGGAAUCGUUGAUUCGCACAAUUGGUAAUUGCGCUUGGUUGAAAAGCCAGUGGCACGAAGCUACCAUGCAUGGGAUUAUGACUGAACGCCUCUAAGUGAGAAUCCGUGCUAGAUGCGGUGCUCUCUACCUCCUCAGCUGUUACCUGAUUACGGUUAGGGGGGCCCCGUGCUCCCCCGAGAACACAUGACGCAAGUGCCGUCCCUCGGGGCCGAUGCUGCCCCGGGGGCGCGGCUUGGAAAUCCAAUUUCGAACGGUCGAGGAGAUAAAUCCUUUGCAGAAGACUUAAAUAGGGGACGGGGUACUGUAAGUGGCAAAGUAGCCUUGCUGCUACAAUCCGCUGAGGUUCAUCCCUCUGUCCCACCGAUUU